AUUGAACGCUGGCGGCAGGCUUAACACAUGCAAGUCGAGCGGAGAUGAGGUGCUUGCAUCUUAUCUUAGCGGCGGACGGGUGAGUAAUGCUUAGGAAUCUGCCUAUUAGUGGGGGACAACAUUCCGAAAGGAAUGCUAAUACCGCACACGUCCUACGGGAGAAAGCAGGGGAUCUUCGGACCUUGCGCUAAUAGAUGAGCCUAAGUCGGAUUAGCUAGUUGGUGGGGUAAAGGCCUACCAAGGCGACGAUCUGUAGCGGGUCUGAGAGGAUGAUCCGCCACACUGGGACUGAGACACGGCCCAGACUCCUACGGGAGGCAGCAGUGGGGAAUAUUGGACAAUGGGGGGAACCCUGAUCCAGCCAUGCCGCGUGUGUGAAGAAGGCCUUAUGGUUGUAAAGCACUUUAAGCGAGGAGGAGGCUACUGAGACUAAUACUCUUGGAUAGUGGACGUUACUCGCAGAAUAAGCACCGGCUAACUCUGUGCCAGCCGCCGCCGUAAAAC
rnacentral:rRNA from 1 species